rnacentral:tRNA from 1 species
GCCUCAGUGGCUCAGUCAGUUGAGCGUCUGACUUUGGCUCAGGUCAUGAUCUCAUGGUUCGUGGGUUCGAGCCCUGCGUUAGGCU